rnacentral:rRNA from 1 species
GAUCCUGGCUCAGGAUGAACGCUAGCGACAGGCUUAACACAUGCAAGUCGAGGGGCACCAUGAGGUAGCAAUACCUUGAUGGCGACCGGCGCACGGGUGAGUAACGCGUAUGCAACCUGCCCGAUACCGGGGUAUAGCCCAUGGAAACGUGGAUUAACACCCCAUAGUACUUUUAUCCUGCAUGGGAUGGGAGUUAAAUGUUCAAGGUAUCGGAUGGGCAUGCGUCCUAUUAGUUAGUUGG